ensembl:lncRNA
CCUCUGUUCCCAGUAAUUCCUGCUGAACAAAGCUCCAUACAAAAGUGCACCCCUUGAUAGCUCCAUCAGAUUUACAGCCUUCUUCUAGCAGAACCAGGCCAGGAUGGAGCAGCCCUGGGCAUUGCCUUGCUCAGCUCCCCCAGAGCUGCUGAGCACCUCCAAGCAAUCUAAGCAGCUGCUGAAGCCUGAGUUGCAUUUCCUAGGAAAUUCUAAGGACCCCGUGAGUCCACCUUACAUCCUGCAAGCAUGGAGGGAUGGCUCUUCAAGGACUAGACAGGAAGAAAAAGAAGCAAACAGGACUGACAGCUAAGGUGAAAGCCUUUGCCAAUGCCUCAAACAAAGCCAGGACACUUCAGCAGAACAGUCUCACCCCUACGAUCUGCUCAUCUGCUUCACCUUUAUUAUCCUGCAACAAUCUGUUCUGAUAACAAGAUGAUGUUCCUUCUCCCCUCCUUUGAGACUAUUAUCCUGAAUGGGGGAAAGGCUCACAUACUGCAUGCUUUAUUCUUUAACAGGAGCCUUCCCACAGUCAAGACCAGCCUUCUGCAGAAUAAACAGCAGUUAAGAGCUUUCUGUAUCUGCUUUCAGCAUCAUAGAUGCUAUUACUAACAGAACAGCACUUGGAAGGAGUGAAGUGCUCCAGAAGUGCUUAUCUUUAUGACCUACUGCUAGCAGAGAACUCAGCUCAUUAUUGUUAUCUUAAAUUAUUUUUAUAUUUAAAAAAAAACUUCUUCCAUUGUUUAGAUCCCUAGAACUCUGGUUUGUUCAGGGUGGCAGGUUUCUUGUUAGCUUGUUCCCAAUAACCUGAAAAAG